ensembl:lncRNA
GUUCUUUUAAGGCUAGGGCGUGUUCACAGAGACCUGCAUUCGGUUAUUCAAAGCCUGUUGCCAAAUAAAUAACAGCUUCUCUUCUAUACUUUUUCACAAGGCAAGAAAAUAAUAAAUAGUCCAAACAAAUAACAAUACCAAGAUAAGACAAAAACAUUUAUUUAUAAGUAUAUUAACCAGUAAUUAAGGAGUUUACAAGAUCUGUAUACAAACAGAGACGGAACAGGUAUUGUGAAAAGGAAGACCCAAACCAAAAACAUCAUGUCAUUUGUACAAGUGUGUACUCAGUUAAACUUAAUACAACCACAAAAACAACAAAUAAAGCAGUCAGAAACCUAAACUAUCUAACCCUGACUGACACUUUCUGACACGGGCCAACAGGUUCCAGCCUCCAUCAUCCUGUGUGUGACGCAGUGAAGCAUCAGCGAUAAGGAACCCACUCGCUCUAACCCCUAUGCUAAUGCCAUAUAAUAAUGAAUCUUGCUCAAUUAAUUAAUGUUAAUGUAUGGAUAAUUAAUUGAACAUUCUUAAACAGCCUCAAAGGUUUGAUUAUAAUUCAGUUUUGGCAUAUACAUUUUCUUCUAACCAAAUUGUGAACAACUCCUUGACAACAACAUAAUUGACGCGCAUUUGAGUUUUUAUUUCCUUCACUCUCUGGUACAGCUCAUCCUUCAGUGAGACAUCCUUGUUGUAGAGUGCCUGGAAGCGCAGAGAACAACAGGUUACAGUUUGUAUUAUGUAGCAGCAUGAGCUA